rnacentral:rRNA from 1 species
GACGAACGCUGGCGGCGUGCUUAACACAUGCAAGUCGAACGAUGAACCCGGAGCUUGCUCCGGCGGAUUAGUGGCGAACGGGUGAGUAACACGUGAGUAACCUGCCCUUGACUCUGGGAUAACUGCUAGAAAUGGUAGCUAAUACCGGAUACGACCCUCGGUGGCAUCACCAGGGGGUGGAAAGAAUUUCGGUCAAGGAUGGACUCGCGGCCUAUCAGCUAGUUGGUGAGGUAACGGCUCACCAAGGCGACGAUCGGUAGCUGGUCUGAGAGGAUGAUCAGCCACACUGGGACUGAGACACGGCCCAGACGCCUACGGGAGGCAGCAGUGGGGAAUAUUGGACAAUGGGGGCAACCCUGAUCCAGCAAUGCCGCGUGAGUGAAGAAGGCCUUCGGGUUGUAAAGCUCUUUUGUCAGGGAAGAAACGGUAGUGGCUAAUAUCCAUUACUAAUGACGGUACCUGAAGAAUAAGCACCGGCUAAC